UGGGGAAUAUUGCACAAUGGGCGAAAGCCUGAUGCAGCAACGCCGCGUGCGGGAUGACGGCCUUCGGGUUGUAAACCGCUUUCAGCAGGGACGAAGGUUUUCUGACGGUACCUGCAGAAGAAGCACCGGCUAACUACGUGCCAGCAGCCGCGGUGAUACGUAGGGUGCGAGCGUUGUCCGGAAUUAUUGGGCGUAAAGAGCUUGUAGGCGGUCCGUUGCGUCGGAAGUGAAAACUCAGGGCUUAACCCUGAGCCUGCUUUCGAUACGGGCGGACUUGAGGGAUGUAGGGGAGAACGGAAUUCCUGGUGGAGCGGUGGAAUGCGCAGAUAUCAGGAGGAACACCAGUGGCGAAGGCGGUUCUCUGGACAUUUCCUGACGCUGAGAAGCGAAAGCGUGGGGAGCAAACAGGCUUAGAUACCCUGGUAGUCCACGCCCGU
rnacentral:rRNA from 1 species